CCUACGGGAGGCAGCAGUAGGGAAUUUUCCACAAUGGGCGAAAGCCUGAUGGAGCACCGCCGCGUGGGUGAAGAAGGUCUUCGGAUCGUAAAACCCUGUUGUUAGAGAAGAAAGUGCGUGAGAGUAACUGUUCACGUUUCGACGGUAUCUAACCAGAAAGCCACGGCUAACUACGUGCCAGCAGCCGCGGUAAUACGUAGGUGGCAAGCGUUAUCCGGAUUUAUUGGGCGUAAAGGGAACGCAGGCGGUCUUUUAAGUCUGAUGGGAAAGCCUUCGGCUUAACCGGAGUAGUGCAUUGGAAACUGGGAGACUUGAGUGCAGAAUAGGAGAGUGGAACUCCAUGUGUAGCGGUGAAAUGCGGAGAGAUAUGGAAGAACACCAGUGGCGAAAGCGGCUCUCUGGUCUGUAACUGACGCUGAGGUUCGAAAGCGUGGGUAGCAAACAGGAUUAGAUACCCGUGUAGUC
rnacentral:rRNA from 1 species